AUUUACCCCCCGGGCGCCCCUGGUCCCCACCGCGGGCAACGUCGAAGGCCACCAAACUCUUGAUAAUUUAUGGCCUCUCUGAGUCUUCUGUACUGAAUAAGUCAAAACUUUCAACAACGGAUCUCUUGGUUCUGGCAUCGAUGAAGAACGCAGCGAAAUGCGAUAAGUAAUGUGAAUUGCAGAAUUCAGUGAAUCAUCGAAUCUUUGAACGCACAUUGCGCCCGCCAGUAUUCUGGCGGGCAUGCCUGUUCGAGCGUCAUUUCAACCAUCAAGCCCCGGGCUUGUGUUGGGGACCUGCGGCUGCCGCAGCCCCUGAAAAGCAGUGCCGGCCUCGCUGUCACACCGAGCGUAGUAGCAUACAUCUGGCUCUGGACGUCCUGCGGGUCCCGGCCGUUAAACCACCUUUUAACCCAGGGUUGACCUCGGAUCAGGUAGGAAG
rnacentral:rRNA from 1 species